UCCUGCAUACAAAUUCAUUCCAAUAACAACAAAUUCACAUAAACUCAAUGACUACGAUCACCAUAAACAUAUUGUAACUCUUCAUCAUUGAAAACAAAAACAACCAAGAAAUGAAAAUGAGAAUUUUGAUAAACCAUCGAAAGCUUCUUUCAGUCUCUUUGCGUCUUGUUCUGGGGGAGGAACAAGAUCUGGCACUUUUAGUGUAGACAUUUUUUUUUUUCUCUCAGAUGGUUUUUUUUUUUUUUUCCCCUGGAGAGUGUGGGAAUAAAAAACCUGACGGGAAACUGAGAUGUCUUUGAGUUUUCGCCCCUGGAGAGUGUGGGAAUAAAAAAUGUAGACAUUUUUUUUUUUCUCUCAGAUGGUUUUUUUUUUUUUUUCCCCUGGAGAGUGUGGGAAUAAAAAACCUGACGGGAAACUGAGAUGUCUUUGAGUUUUCGAGUGUUUUGUCAGGUGAAGUUAAUCUUUCUUCAGUUCAAUCCUUUUUC
rnacentral:lncRNA from 1 species